rnacentral:tRNA from 1 species
UGGAGUGUAGCUCAGAGGCAGAGCGUGUGCUUAGCAUGCACAAGGUCCUGGGGUCAAUCCCAGACUGCCCAA